CCAGUAGGCCAGUACAUUCUCAUGCCAUUCUUUGAUUACCGUACAUUGCAAAAUGCGUUGGUCAAGAACAGAUGCUCAUUAAUGAUUCUUAACAUAUGUUUCUUCACAUUGGACCCGUUCCACAUGGGUAUAAUAUAGCUUCAAAGAGAUUAUGCAUGCAUACAUUUUUGGCACGCAUACAUUUUGGAAAUGGAUGCAUGAAGCAUUGAAGCUAUUGAAAAGUUUCUAGCCACCCAUGCGAAGAAGAGACAGAUGUGGUGUCAGUGUCUGGGAGCUCCGACUCCAAGCAUUGUGACUCCAGGAGUCCAUGUGGGCCAAGGAGCUUAAAGAAUCACACGCUUCAACCUUCAAACCAGGCGCUCUGCUACUUCCUUCAUUGUUGGCCUGUCAUCUCCACUUGGGCAUAGGCAGUGCACUGCUAGUUGGGCUAGCUUCUCAAGCACCGCCAUGACCGCCUCAUCUAUAAUUUCGAUGUCCAGCAUCAGUUGGUGCUUAUUACGUCGAAACAUUAAGAGAAAGGUAUGCGCCAGUGAUUUCUUUUCGUUGAACCUAUCCUCAAACAUAGCCCUUUUUCUUGUGAUCAACUCCAGAAGAACUACUCCGAAACUGUAGACAUCACUUUUCUCUGUCAGCUGAUGACUGAUAAAGCUCUCAGGGUCAAGAUAGCCAAGUGUUCCUUGUACAAACAUGAUGAACUCAUUUUCGUCCAUUGACUUCUGUGCUGAUGCUCCAAAAUCUGCAAUCUUUGCAUUGUGCUGAUCAUCCAACAGGAUAUUGGCAGACUUGACAUCUCCAUGUAGAAUUGUGCAAGAUAUCGAUGAAUGUAAAUAAGCAAGAGCUUCUGCUGAUUGUGUGGCAAUCUUCAGACGGAGAUCCAAGGGGAUGGGUGAUGUACGAUCAGCACCAUGAAGGAACCUGGAUAGAGUUCCAUUGGAGACAAACUCGUACACCAACAUUGGGACAUCUACGUCCAAGCAACAGCCUAGUAACCUCACGAUGUUUCGGUGGUUGAUUUGAGACAAAAUUAUUAUCUCAUUGACAAAUUCUUCCCUACAGUCAUCAUUUAUUACCUUAGACUUUUUUAUGGCAACCUCUUUGUGGUCAUCCAAAGUUCCUCUAUAGACCAUUCCAUGACCACCACAUCCAAGCACUCUAUCUUCACUAUAGUUGUCUGUGGCUUUCUUUAUUUCCUUCUCUGUAAGAAUAUGAAUCGUGUGAACCUUCCUUGCCCUCAUUUCAUCAUAUAACUUGAGACCUCCAUUUUGUCUGAAA